rnacentral:rRNA from 1 species
CAGCCGCCACGGUAAUACGAAGGGGGCUAGCGUUGUUCGGAUUUACUGGGCGUAAAGCGCACGUAGGCGGACUUUUAAGUCAGGGGUGAAAUCCCGGGGCUCAACCCCGGAACUGCCUUUGAUACUGGAAGUCUUGAGUAUGGUAGAGGUAAGUGGAAUUCCGAGUGUAGAGGUGAAAUUCGUAGAUAUUCGGAAGAACACCAGUGGCGAAGGCGGCUCACUGGACCAUUACUGACGCUGAGGUGCGAAAGCGUGGGGAGCAGACAGGAUUAGAUACCCCUGUAGUCCCUGUCUCUUAUAC